AGAACCAAAAAAAUAGAAGUUGUUAACUAAAAAAAUUUAUGAAAUAUUGCGAUGCAAUGAAUAUUAAUUAGUAAUUAAAUAAAAAGAAAAUAAUAAGCAAUACAAUGAUUUUUUGAAAACUCUAUUUAUAUUAAAAUCUUUGUACAAUGUUUUUUUUUAAGUAUUUCAUAGGAUACUCUUUACCUAGCAACACUUUUUCCGUUCUAUUACUAAUUUAAUUGGAUCCUGAACCCUUGUUUUUAUGACCUUCCGCCCCCCUCCCCCCCUUUUUCUAAUUAAUUCUAAAAAAAAUAGAAAAAGGGGGGAUUAGUCCCCGAUCAUUGAUCGUAUCUCUAAAUUUUACACAAUAUAAGAAAAUCCUUAUUUUCAUUUAGAAUUGAAAUUUAUGAAUUUCAAUUACUUUUACUUAAUAAUCUUAGCAAUUAGCAAUUGC
rnacentral:lncRNA from 1 species